rnacentral:snRNA from 1 species
AGCUUUGCACAGUGGCAAUAUCGUAACCAGUGAGGUUUGCCCGAGGCGCAAUUGUUGCUAAUUGAAAGAAAAAAAAUCUACAGAGCAAAUUAGUUUUCCAUUCAACAAUUUAUAUGCAUUUUGUUUCAAA